rnacentral:rRNA from 1 species
UACAGAGGGGGCAAGCGUUGUUCGGAAUUACUGGGCGUAAAGGGCGCGUAGGCGGCCUUCUAAGUCGAACGUGAAAUCCCCGGGCUCAACCCGGGAACUGCGUCCGAUACUGGAAGGCUUGAAUCCGGGAGAGGGAUGUGGAAUUCCAGGUGUAGCGGUGAAAUGCGUAGAUAUCGAGAGGAACACCAGUGGCGAAGGCGAGUCUCUGGACGACCCCUGACACUGAG